CUGCUGCUGCUGCUGCUCGCCCCCAAAAGAAAGGCACUCGCAGAACAAGCCGAGGAUCGGCCGCCGGCGGAAUAUGUAAAAGGCCGCAGGUCCGUCACUGUCAUGAGACUCACCGGCCCCAUUAAAAUGGCUACAGCCGAGGUGGAGGGUGGAAGAGAGGCCGUGCAUUAAAAACAGGGCUGGAAUGCAUUCGGAGAGAGGGAGAGGGAGAGGGAGAGGGAACGGGAGAGAGAGAGAGAGACUAUUCUCCUUAGGACAUGCAGAAAAAACACUGCUAUAUCUCUAGUGUUUGGUAUUGCUGAGUGGGUGUCUGCCUCUCUCUAAUCAAUUUAUUAUGAGGCACUGAGGUCCCUGUGUUUGUUCAUUUAACACAGGCGAAAUGAGGAAGAGUGUUUGUUUUAGGUACAGUAGGGCCCGGCAGGGAAGGAGAAGUGCAGAAGGGGAGAAACCCUGUGUGUGUGUGUGUGUGGGUGAGUGUGUGUGCCAGUCUGUGUACACCAUGGAGGAGGAAGGGGGCUGCACAGUAAAGAGAGACAGUCUUGAUAGAUGAAUGUGAGGCAUAAUAAUGUAACUUUGGGGAAGUGUUGAUUUAAUUGUAGCCUGGUGUAACAUUUAAUGUAGCCUUAGGAACACCUGGCGCAGAGGGUUUACACAUGGGACAGUGCCAAUUAUAAAUCCAGCCAAUCACAACCCGUCCACAAAUCCUCUGACAUGCCCAGUCUUACAACAAGAUGCCGGUUUAAAAAGAUGAGAUGGUAUGGGGGCAAACACACGCGCGGCACUCUCCUUUUAAUUACAAUGUCUGUCGAGGUGGGACACUGCUAUAAACAAUCAUCUGCACAAUCAAACAGUUUUUAUCAUAUUAUAACCCUCUGAAACUGAAAUAAUGAUAUUGUGGUGCACACAGUAGUUUUUGACUGUUAGUAUUCAUCAAAAAUAUAUAAACUGGGAGCCUGGCUUUAGAAUGGCCAUUUCCUCUCGCAUUCAGCCCGGCUGAGACUUCAAUAGUCUACCUUCACCUACCUUCAAAGUAUGACACCAAACCCAUUUAUAUUUGAUAAACUAUACCACACAUUAUUCAAACUGAACAUUAUGAAGAUUAUUUUUGAAAAGUCUGAUUGA
ensembl:lncRNA